GCCAAAGGAAUAAAGGACUACCGAUAAAAACACAAUCAUCCAUAGAUAGCUUUCCAGAUGACUGUAGCACCAUUGAUUUCAAAAUUUUGUCAACACAAGGCAUUGCAGGUGGAGACGAACAAGUAAACGUGGAUCUAGAUGAUGAUAGCGAUUGGUUGCAUAGAAAUGAGACAUUCUAGGCAAACAACAUUGUCGCAAGUAAUGACCUUCUCACAA